rnacentral:rRNA from 1 species
AUUGAACGCUGGCGGCAGGCCUAACACAUGCAAGUCGAGCGGCAGCGACAACAUUGAACCUUCGGGGGAUUUGUUGGGCGGCGAGCGGCGGACGGGUGAGUAAUGCUUGGGGAUCUGCCCGGUUGUGGGGGACAACAGUUGGAAACGACUGCUAAUACCGCAUACGCCCUACGGGGGAAAGCAGGGGCUCUUCGGACCUUGCGCGAUCGGAUGAACCCAAGUGAGAUUAGCUAGUUGGUGGGGUAAUGGCUCACCAAGGCGACGAUCUCUAGCUGGUUUGAGAGGAUGAUCAGCCACACUGGGACUGAGA